rnacentral:rRNA from 1 species
GACAGAGGGUGCAAACGUUGUUCGGAAUUACUGGGCGUAAGCGUGCGCAGGCGGUUGUGCAAGACAGAUGUGAAAUCCCCGGGCUAACCUGGGAACUGCAUUUGUGACUGCACGGCUAGAGUGCGGCAGAGGGGGAUGGAAUCCGCGUGUAGCAGUGAAAUGCGUAGAUAUGCGGAGGAACACCGAUGGCGAAGGGCAAUCCCCUGGGCCUGCACUGGACGCUCAUGCACGAAAGCGUGGGGAGCAAACAGG